GUGUCACAAUGCCAGCCUCUGUGACUAAUAUUUUCACAAAUUAAAGGUAGACUUGACCCAAGAGUGGCUCUAGAUCAGCCAGGAAGAAGAUUGUUACAGAGAUUCAAGGAAAAGUUGAUGGGCACUUAGAUGAGGAUGUUGAAAAUAGAGAUGGAGAGGUAUUAAGUGAAUUCAAAAAGUAGAAUCAACAGAACAUGAUGACCAAUUGAAUGCAACAUUGUAGGGAGGAAGGAGGUGCCAGGAACGACUCCCAGCUUUAGCAAGUGUCUCUGAGGAGAGAAAAAUCUACUUUCUCUUGCAAGCCAGAGAACCUGUAGGAAAUAAGGGGCUGCUAAUGUGAAACUACAUCUCCUGAGUCCCUUGCAGAUAGUAGGCCAUUCCAGUCUCCGCAAAUGGGAAUCACUGAGAUUUAGAAGAGUGAAGUAGACCCACCCUUCUUUCUUGGCAAAGGCGGGCAGAUUCACAGCACAGGUGAGACUUAGCACCACUUCCCUGCAAUUCCUGACCCUAUCUGCAGGGACAGGAACAUCGGACUUCAAUCAGCAGUAACACCGACGUCUGUCUUCAACCCAAGAAACCUAGUGAGAGAACAGGAGUUAGUUUGAGUCUGUUCUGGCUCUUCCUACCCUUCUUGUUGUUUUGUAACACUUAAUUGUUGCAUUAAAUUCCUUGAA